UACAGAGGGGCGAAGCGUUGUUCGGAAUUACUGGGCGUAAAGGGCGCGUAGGCGGCCUUCUAAGUCGAACGUGAAAUCCCCGGGCUCAACCCGGGAACUGCGUCCGAUACUGGAAGGCUUGAAUCCGGGAGAGGGAUGGCGGAAUUCCAGGUGUAGCGGUGAAAUGCGUAGAUAUCAGGAGGAACACCGGUGGCGAAGGCGGUUCUCUGGGCAUUACCUGACGCUGAGGAGCGAAAGUGUGGGGAGCGAACAGG
rnacentral:rRNA from 1 species